ensembl:misc_RNA
CUGACCACACUCCCUGGGACUUCUCCCAAGGUGCCCGGGUGUCCUUGGCACAUGCAGUCAUCAUGAUGGCACCUGAAAUGGAGGCUGAAUCAUCUCUCCUUUGAGCUGCACAGCACCUGGCUCCCCUGGUGUUCCCAAUUUACCUCUGGGACACUGAGAUUUGGAGAG